rnacentral:rRNA from 1 species
GACAAACGCUGGCGGCGUGCGUAAAACAUGCAAGUCGCACGGUGCUUCGGCACAGUGGCAGACGGCUGAGUAACGCGUAGGGAUCUACCUUCUGGUGGGGAAUAACGGCCCGAAAGGGUCGCUAAUACCGCAUACGACCCCGCGUUGGCGGGAGGAAAGCCGCAAGGCGCCGGGAGAGGAACCUGCGUCCGAUUAGCUGGUUGGUGGGGUCACGGCCUACCAAGGCGACGAUCGGUAGCUGGUCUGAGAGGAUGACCAGCCAGACUGGGACUGGGAC